UUUUUCCCUCAGUGGCAGAUGGGCAGCGUUGCCCUUGAUCUGUGGAGUGGGCAGCAGGGCUGAGCCUAUGGUUUGUACCGGGACUGCAUGCCAGGGUCACCUUCCCAGAAGUCACCAGUGCCACGGGCCGCAUGGUAACGUAGGUACUGGGGUCAGCUAGGACAGUUUUACACGCAGAGGGUUCAUGGAGGCCCAGAGUCAGAAGACGUUGACAUUGGAGUCAGUUCUGCACAGAGCAGAAUAAGGCAGAGACCAUACCGGCCCAUCCACCCUAUCAUGGUUUUAAAACCUCCUGCCUGGGAACGCAGCAGCUUUGUACUUGAAACCCAGCUCUACUUUCUCUGGAAGCUAGGGGAAUCUUCAACGGAGUAGGACUGCCUUUUCCGCCCGCUGAUCAGCGUCAUAAAGCCCUGAAAGUCUGA